AGGCCCGUCGGCGGUCCCCCGGCCCUUCGCCGAGGUCGCCUCCGACUCAGACGCUCCCCGCCCGCGCCCCUUCGGCGCGGCUCCGACCCGCCUCGCGCGGAGCCCGUACUCCAAACCCGGCGCCGCAACUACCCGAGCGGCCGUUUUCACCCGUAACAUGUGCGGCUCCCUCGGAGCUCGCACGGGGCGGCCCCGGAGCGGACGCGCUAGCUCUCUCGAGCGAGCACUUAGCCGGGGCGGACUCCGCCGACCGGGACCCGGACCGCGCUGGGCGCGGGGACUCAACGGGAGAGCGUGGAGGCGGUCACCGGCGUCGGAUCGGGGCUCCGUACUUGCCAAACGGCGGUUUAGCCUCGCGCGCCCCGCGCUCCUCGGCGCUCAGACCAGAGCCCCGCAGCGCGCGCACCGAGCGGCUCGCCGUUCGCGCGACUCGGCCGAGGGGUUGCCGGGACGCGCCCGCCCUCCGUCGCCAGGGGAUCGUAAAGAUCGUACACGGUCCGGCACGGCGAAAGGGAACCCGGUCAAGAUUCCGGGACCCGGCGAGUAGGAAACGUUCACCUGCCAGGUCCGUACGACUCGUCGGAGCGAUUCGACAACCAGCCCGGAGAAGCCGGCGGAGGACCCGUGGAGAGUUGUCUUUUCUGUUGAAGCGACCGAGCAUCCCUGGAACGCGUAUGGCGCGGAGAUAGGGGCGGUGGUCGCGAGGAGCACCGGUCGUCGGCGGUGUACGGGUCUCCUCCCUCGGACCGUGAAAAUCCCGGCUGAGGCUCCUGGUUCGGUGGUUUCCGAAGCCGGUUCGUACCGAGUAUCCGCAGCAGGUCUCCUAGGUGAACAGCCUCUGGUCACGUGGAACAAUGUAGGUAAGGGAACUCGGCAAACUCGAUCCGUAACUUCGGGACAAGGAUUGGCUCUGAGGAUCGAGGCCGGUCUGGCCGGGCGGCCGCAGCGCCUUCCGUGCGGGCGGGCAACCGUUCGCGGGGACCGUCCGCCGGGGCCGCGGCCGCGUCACUCCUGACGCCGGCCGGACGCGCCGUCAGGCGGGCAAUCGCCGGGGCCCUCGGGUCCCGGAGACCCCGCCGGCGUUAUCCGCGGCAGAAGGGGCCGGCCAACCCCGGGAGGUCCGCGGGGCGGCGCUCGCCCGGCGCUCUCGGGCGUCGGGCCGCGGCGCUGCCCCGUCUCCCAAACGCUCUGCGCUCGCUUGCCCUCGCGGGCGGCGGCCGGGCAAAUUAACGACCGCGCCAACAAACCCUGGUCGUGCUCAGAACUGUUCUCGGACCCGGGGAAUCCGACUGUUUAAUUAAAACAGAGCAUCGUGAAGGCCGCACAUUACCGGCGUAGACGCGAUGUGAUUUCUGCCCAGUGCUCUGAAUGUCAACGUGAAGAGAUUCAAGCAAGCGCGGGUAAACGGCAGGAGUAACUAUGACUCUUUUAAGGUAGCCAAAUGCCUCGUCAUCCAAUUAGUGACGCGCAUGAAUGGAUCAACGAGAUUCCCUCUGUCCCUAUCUACUAUCCAGCGAAACCCCAGCCAAGGGAACGGGCUUGGGACACUAUCAGCGGGGAAAGAAGACCCUGUUGAGCUUGACUCUAGUCCGGUGCUGUACGGAGACAUGCGAGGCGUAGCAUAAGUGGGAGGUCCCGAUCACGAACGCGGCCGCUAACCGCGGUCCGUUCGCGGGGUCAACGAU
rnacentral:rRNA from 1 species